UGUAACUGCUGCUGAUGUGGUAAAGUAGGCGAGGCCAACAGCACUCCCCCAUUUGGGGUUGACCUCGCCUGGUUUGCCUUGUGGUGAGGUUGCAGCUGCUCGGCUGCACUGCUUUUUACCUGGGGAUCGGUCAGAAACAUUACCCUGAGGUAAAAUAAAAAAACCCUGCACCUCUUUGCAGGGUGAAGGCAGGGCCUCCUCGCUCUGCCUCAGCCGCCUUCUCUCUGUAAUUGGAAUUUCAGCAAGUACCUGCCCCUAAGAUGAAUGUUGCGUGGCGUUCCCAGGCACGCCCCACCUCAAACGCCGGCCUGAUCUUCCUCCGGGCCCCAACGUGGCAUCAACAGCCUUUUCCCGCCUGGAGCAACACACGGCGGCUCCGGAGCAAGGCUCCUCGCUCCGCCUGAGCUACAGCUUCAUGCCGCUCUGCCGUCAGCAAGCAGGGAGAUGUCUGCCCCGUCUCGGGGACCUGGGGGCAAGAAGUCACCCAGGCGAAGUUUGUCCUCGGAAAGAAGGUCUUUUUCUUCUCUCUGCUGGCCUUGAAGAUUUAUAUGACUGAUUUAUAAACCCUUAAUUGUAGAGAUAAUGUAUUUAAAACAUAUGUGCUUCCCGUAGUGCUGUGCGCACGCUUUGAAUGCUGUCUGCCUCUUGCCCUGUCUACGUUCACAGAAGGUGGAAUUCAUCUGUGUGUUGACCUCCCCCCCGAAAAUGCAUUUUAGCAAUAAAAAUACAUUAUCAGGCAUCGUAUUGCACAAGUGAGCCCCUGCAUAGAAAUGGGAGUCAUUCUGCACAAUGUAGUGCCAGCACAGAGACAGUACCGAGGAGCAGUCAUUCCUCAUUGCAGCAUGCUACAGAUUUGCACUUAGUGAGAGGUCAGAUUAGAUCAUCACCGUAGAAAGGAAAUCUAUUUAAAUAUAUCUCCUGGAGGUACGGGGGGCUCUAUGACAAGUCUGCUGGUGCAGGGUGAGUCUUUGGGCAGAGAACUGCCUUGGAGAUGGGAGACGGGAGCGAGGGAUGCUCAACCACACCGCCAGCCUUUGCAGAACCACAGUGCUGAGUCUUCCUGCAGGUCUUGCUGCAGGCGAGGACGGCUGGUCCUUCAAGCGGUGGCUCUGACUGUUUCCCACCUGCACGUUGUAACUUAAGAAUGCUGACUCACUGGCACCGUGCGCCAACCCAAAUGUUGCUACUGGAAUUGACCACUGGAAGAUCCUGGCAAAACCAUCCGGGAAGUUUAUGUGAUGCUAGAUACAUCAUGAGGUUUCUACACCAUCAGAGCAUUUGUUCUGAACAUUGUAUAGAUACGUGGCUGGUUGUUUCCUUAUUGAGGUACCUCUGCUUUACUUUCCUUGGCAGGCAAUUUAAACAUAGUUAGAUAUAUUGCAACUGAGGAGUGGUCAGGAAGCUAAAGAGCAACAUGGAAACGCAGCUUUAAAACAAGGUCCCCUCCCUCUGUAUCAGUGAGUUACAGACAUUGAUUCAGGUGUAUUUAAACGGUAUCUUCUAGAGUUUCGAACUUGUUUUGCAUCUUAUGUAACUGAAAAUCAGCUUUUGUGUUUGUUUUAGGAGGAAAUAAAUUUAUUUCAGAUCUGAUUAUCAUUACUGACUCAUUUGUCACUUGAUAUGAUGUCACUGGUCUGAUUAUCUGAUUAUUCCGAGUCCCUGAGUGUCACUAGUGUGUUGGAAGGCAGUGACUCCUCAGAUGUUCAUGGAUGCCUUUAUGUAUCCGCCUCCAAUGACUUUACAAAUUCCUGAAAAUGAACACAAGGCAUUUUCAGCUUUUCUCUCCC